rnacentral:rRNA from 1 species
AACGCUAGGGACAGGCCUAACACAUGCAAGUCAGGGGCAGCACAAGGAGCAAUCUGAGGUGGCGACCGGCGCACGGGUGAGUAACACGUAUGCAACCUGCCUGUAAGCGGGGAAUAACCCGUUGAAAGACGGACUAAUACCGCAUAAUACUAAAUUACUGCAUGGUAAUUAUUUAAACAUUUAUGGCUUACAGAUGGGCAUGCGCAUGAUUAGCUAGUUGGAGAGGUAACGGCUCCCCAAGGCAACGAUCAUUAGGGGUUCUGAGAGGAAGGUCCCCACCACUGGUACUGAGACACGGACCAGACUCCUACGGGAGGCAGCAGUGAGGAAUAUUGGUCAAUGGACGAGAGUCUGAACCAGCCAAGUCGCGUGCAGGAAGAAUGUCCUAAUGGAUUGUAAACUGCUUUUGCAGGGGGAAUAAAGUGCAUCACGUGCGAUGUUUUGUAUGUACUCUGCGAAUAAGGAUCGGCUAACUCCGUGCCAGCAGCAGC